rnacentral:rRNA from 1 species
GUGGGGAAUCUUGCGCAAUGGGCGAAAGCCUGACGCAGCAACGCCGCGUGCGGGACGAAGGCCUUCGGGUCGUAAACCGCUUUCAGCAGGAACGAAAAUGACGGUACCUGCAGAAGAAGGUCCGGCUAACUACGUGCCAGCAGCCGCGGUAAUACGUAGGGGCCGAGCGUUGUCCGGAUUCAUUGGGCGUAAAGAGCUCGUAGGCGGUCGCGUAAGUCGGGUGUGAAAUCUCCGGGCUCAACCCGGAGGGGCCACCCGAUACUGCUCGACUCGAGUCCGGUAGGGGAGUGGGGAAUUCCUGGUGUAGCGGUGAAAUGCGCAGAUAUCAGGAGGAACACCGGUGGCGAAGGCGCCACUCUGGGCCGGUACUGACGCUGAGGAGCGAAAGCGUGGGGAGCAAACAGGAUUAGAAACCCCAGUAGUCC